AGUUUCAGGAAAAUACCCAGUCUUGGGAUUCUCUUACAGAUGAAGAAGACCACCAAUACAUGUUCCUAGCCCAGAGCUCUGAAAUACCAAGUGCAGAAAUAUGACUGAGUCACUCAAGGCCUAUUGUUCUCAAGGAUUUUGCAAGACGUAUAAACACCUUUGGGCGUGACAUCUUCAAAAACCUAUUCUGUGUUUGUGUUUUUUGUUUGUUUGUUUGUUUGUUUGUUUGUUUUUUAAAGGUUGCUAUGUGUUUACUGAAGAGGUUUUCUUGUCUAAGACCUUCAAUAAAGAAUGUGCAAAUUUC